UAAAAAUUUGUUUAUAGGUAUUUGUAUACAUAUAUGUUAUUAAUAGGCGCGAGAAUUAAAAGUUUUUUUGCUUUUAGGUUCCGGGUAAUUAUGAGUAAAAUGCAAGUUUGGGCAAUAAAUAAAAGGCAUUUUAAAUAGAGGCAAUAGUUUUAGUAGGGCAGUUACUAAAAUUAAAUAUUCGGGGGGCCGAGAUAUAGAAGAAAUUUUUAGUAUAAACAAAAUUUGUGCCAGCAGUUGCGGUUACACAAAUUAUGCAAUGGAAGUUUGUUAGGUGUAGUUAAUCAAUUUUGAUAUAACAUGGGUUAAAAAAAAUUUUAUUAGGUGAAAUUUUAAGAUUUUGAAUACCUUUAACGAUUUAGAUGAGGCUAGGAAGUUUUGACGAAAGACUAGGAUUAGAUACCCUAUUAUAAAAAUUAAGUAUUUGAGCCUGGAUUAUUAGUAGUUAAGUUCUUGAAAAUUAAUAGAGAUGGCGGUAUUUUAGUCUAUUCAGAGGAAUCUGCCCUAUAAUUGAUAUUCCACGAUUUUUUUUACUUAGGUUUUUAGCUUAUAUAUCGCUGUAGGUUGAAUAUUUCUUAUGAACCAAAAUAUUCAUGAUUUUUAGGGAAAGGAAUUCAAGUCAAGAUGUAGCUUAUAUCUGAGAAGAGGUGGAUUACAUUUCAUUUAGUUAUGGUCUGAUGGUUGUAAAAUUUUCUUUAAAUUGGAUUUGAUAGUAAUUUUUUAGCAAAAUUUUAAGAAUGAUUUUGGCUCUAAAAUACGUACAUAUCGCCCGUCGCUUUCACUUUAAAGUGGAAUAAGUCGUAACAUAGUAGAUGUACUGGAAAGUGCCUCUAGAAGG
rnacentral:ncRNA from 1 species